AGUGAACGCUGGCGGUAGGCCUAACACAUGCAAGUCGAACGGCAGCACAGGAGAGCUUGCUCUCUGGGUGGCGAGUGGCGGACGGGUGAGGAAUACAUCGGAAUCUACUCUGUCGUGGGAGAUAACGUAGGGAAACUUACGCUAAUACCGCAUACGACCUACGGGUGAAAGCAGGGGACCUUCGGGCCUUGCGCGAUUGAAUGAGCCGAUGUCGGAUUAGCUAGUUGGCGGGGUAAAGGCCCAACAAGGCGACGAUCCGUAGCUGGUCUGAGAGGAUGAUCAGCCACACUGGAACUGAGACACGGUCCAGACUCCGACGGGAGGCAGCAGGGUGGAAUAUUGGAGAAUGGGCGCAAGCCUGAUCCAGCCAUACCGCGUGGGUGAAGAAGGCCUUCGGGUUGUAAAGCCCUUUUGUUGGGAAAGAAAUCCAGCUGGCUAAUACCCGGUUGGGAUGACGGUACCCAAAGAAUAAGCACCGGCUAACUUCGUGCCAGCCGCCGCGGUAA
rnacentral:rRNA from 1 species